ensembl:lncRNA
AUUGAACACACACACACACACACACACACACACACACAUCCAUAGUUGGGUGUCAUCAACAGGAAGAGUUAACUUUAUUUGCCCCAUCAACAUUAGUCUGAUCCUUUGCACAACCACAUAAACCAAUUUGUCUAGCAUUGUGUGUGACAACAAAGUGAGAACAGUAACAUUUAAUGUGGCCACCUCACAAGGGUUGAAAUUGUUUCGGGCAAAACCUAAAACAAGGCAUGUUAGCUGUGUGUUAGUAAACUCGUCAGUGUAAAUCUUGAGCAAAACAUUGGGUUAUUCUCAAUACAGGAGAGAAACAGUCAACAAGUAAGACGUGGAGCAUGUAACGAUCAUGGAACACAUAUCCUAGACAAACGUAGGGCAAUAUGGGACAAAGUGGAGGAGUUGCCUUGGCCAAGGACUUCUAUCAGAGUCAGUUCAAAAGUGGGAUAAUCAUAAUCUCUGAUUAAAAACGCAUUCAAAUCUACUGCUUCAUAUUGAGAGCUGAGUUUGGUAUGGAAAACCUGCAAGGCCAAUGUGAUUCUCUUUUAUCUUACACAUAAAAGGGGAGUCGAGCAGAAACUAAGAAAUUAAUCCAAGGAAUCAGUUUUCUAUAGUGUCAGUGAUUAGCUAAAAUGCUGGAAAAAUUAUCCACAUCCAGAGGUUGAAUAAUAAAAAGUUUAAAUCUGGAAUCGAAUCAGUCUGACAUGUCAAAUUUUCUGUGUAAGGAAAAAUAGUAAAUCAUCAUUAUAACAAGAAAAUAAAUGUAAACAUAUGAAAUGCCUAUCAAUACCUUAGAUCAUCCUGUGUAGCCUAUCAAUAAACAGCCCCCCAGCCAUCCACAUGCCAUCCAAUAGCAGAGGGAUGAGGGAAAAUUCAUAACUCACCCACACAUCUUCACAUAUCAGAUGGAUUUGGCCGUAUGCACAAUACGCAUAAGAAAAUAAAUAACACUCAGAAAUCUAACACAACUGAUUACCAUGCACAAGAUUAUGAGGGUCAAAUGUUACAAACAUAUGUUUGAGACUACGUUGUGGCAGCCUACCCGGCUAUGUUAGAAUUACAGUUAUUCAGAGCGUCUGAGCUCCAGGCAACUGCAUUUUGAGUUUCAAACAUUGGGAUAGAGUCUGCACCGUUUCUCAAACAAGACAGGAUAUUUAUCAUAGGGUUUCUAUAAUUUGAUCUAUGAUUAUCCGCUCACGCCACGCAUUGAGAGAAUAUCUAUUCAUUGUAAUGCUAAAUUUGAAACCUGUUUUAUGCGCAACCAAGACAACGUCAGCAUAAUAAACGCAGAUGUUUCCCAGAAACACUGCGGUCUGUCCAAUGAUCCCGUUGUUGGUUAAAACUUGCUAUUCAUGUAAAAAAAAAAAAAAAUGAACGCUUCACGAAUUAGAGUUUAUAUGAAUAUAAAAAAUGGCUGAGCUCUGUAACUUUCCCUGUCUGGUUAACUUGGCCUGUCUGGUUGCUGGAGAGAGGCACAGAUGCGGCCACCACCAGGUAGGCUACAGAGAAAGUUUCCGGUUGGAUAUUCGAUGGAUAUUCACCUGUAGUUUUCCUUACAUCCACCAACAACAGUUAGGGACGGUCAACAUAGUGACGCUGACUACCCUUCUAUAUUGCACACUCUUGUUUGUGUACUGUAAAGUCACGCGGUGUAACGUACAUUUUAGUUAGUUUCACAUUUGCAAUACCUCCUUGGUCAUGUCAAUUACACACCUAAGAAGCAUGCAGUGGAUGUACACCCAUAUUGCAUAACCAUAACAUAUCUUCUAUAUUGUUGUCAUUAAUAUUAGUUUGACAAUUAGGGGGUUCAGUCCAGUGUUGUGUUUACCCUUUUCUUUAAUAUUUAUCUACAAUAAUUGGUAGUUCUAAGUACUUAUUUUCCCUGUUUUUUUUUCUCCACAGUAUUUAACAGUGGUACACAAUAGGAGAGAGACAGAUAAUAUCUCCUUUCGUCGUUAAUAUCAACCAUAAAGGAAAAGGGCAAAGUACUAGAGUCAUGUUAUGAAUUGUCCAAGGGCAGGGAUGGAGAGUGAGCUAGUGAGCUAGUGAGGUAGGCUGCAGUGGGUUUGCUGGUCAAUACAUAUACUGAACAGGGAUGGAGAGUGAGCUAGUGAGGUAGGCUGCAGUGGGUUUGCUGGUCAAUACAUAUACUGAACAGGGAUGGAGAGUGAGCUAGUGAGGUUGGCUGCAGUGGGUUUGCUGGUCAAUACAUAUACUGAACAGGGAUGGAGAGUGAGCUAGUGAGGUUGGCUGCAGUGGGUUUGCUGGUCAAUACAUAUACUGAACAUGUAACCACAGUAAUGGUGGCCAGUAAAUCAACGAAUAAACAUUUACUAUUGACAAAUUUUACAGAAAUUGUAGACAUUUAAUCUUUUCCAACAUGUCAACAGACACAACUUCAAUUAAGUAUGAAACAUUUCACAGUGUUAUUAACCUUCUCUUUAUCCCUGGUUGAUGUACAUUUCAGAGCCUCUUCAGUGUGGAUGGGGAAAAGCAUACAUUUUCAACAACAAAGACAGCACUUCCAGUUUGUGUUCUUUACUCUGUUGAACUCUUUUGUCUUCAUUCCUAGGCACAGCACAUGGAACCACCGUUGGCAUGCAAAUCAAAACAAAGCGUAACACGUUAUAAAUAAUAUCAAAUAUCAAUGCAGUAUGAUGAAUGACGAAUUAGCCAUCCUGUCACACCCUGACCAUAGUUUGCUUUGUAUGUUUCUAUGUUUUGUUUGGUCAGGGUGUGAUCUGAGUGGGCAUUCUAUGUUGGAUGUCUUGUUUGUCUAUUUCUAUGUCUGGCCUGAUAUGGUUCUCAAUCAGAGGCAGGUGUUAGUCAUUGUCUCUGAUUGGGAACCAUAUUUAGGUAGCCUGUUUGGUGUUGGGUUUUGUGGGUGAUUGUUCCUGUCUCUGUGUUUGUUUUCACCAGAUAGGCUGUUUAGGUUUUCUCACAUUUAUUGUUUUGUUAGUUUGUUCAUGUGUAGAGUCUUUAUAAAUUAAACAUGAAUAAUCACCAUGCUGCGUUUUGGUCCGCCUCUCCUUCACCACAAGAAAACCGUUACACAUCCAUUGUGUUAUAUCAUAAAUUGUCUUACAUACCGUCACUGUUGUCAAAAGAUUAUAAACAUGUUAAAUAAAGUUACUAACCCAG